rnacentral:rRNA from 1 species
AUGGUAAAUUGCUCAUAUUUCCAACACUUCCACCCAAAUAUUUUAAUUUUGCUUGGUACACUUAGUUUCCAUAGAAUUUCCCAGACAAGAUUGUUGCUCAAGGGCAAACAUCAUCAUUUUUUACUUGUUGGUAAAUUGAUGCUCCGAUUCAACAUAGUAUGCAGAUGUGGCCUCAAAGGAGUGUGUGUGGGUGUUAUGCCAGGCUACAAAAUCCGCACCCAACUGUGCAUGCAAUGGGGUUCUCAGAAUUGUUUCAACAUCAACCAAUCAGAAAAUGUUCGGGAUAGUAUCUUCAUCCUACAUGCCAGUCAUUGGAUUAAUAAGUUCAUCAACUGUUUCUCCGCCCCUUGCUUGUCAAAACUUUCCUAG